UACGGGGGGGGCAAGCGUUGUUCGGAAUUACUGGGCGUAAAGGGCUCGUAGGCGGCCAACUAAGUCGGAUGUGAAAUCCCCAGGCUUAACCUGGGAACUGCAUCCGAUACUGGAUGGCUUGAAUCCGGGAGAGGGAUGCAGAAUUCCAGGUGUAGCGGUGAAAUGCGUAGAUAUCUGGAGGAACACCGGUGGCGAAGGCGGCGUUCUGGACUGUAACUGACACUGAGGAACGAAAGCCAGGGGAGCAAACGGG
rnacentral:rRNA from 1 species